CUGUUAGAUGUCGCUGUAGAUUUAGCAGCACUGUACUGUAAAAAUCCACAGUACUAUACUGUAUGUGUACAUUACAGUACAGUACUGCAGUUCAUAAUGCAUUCUGGGUAAAUUUGUUUGAGCGGGAAAAUGUUACAGUAUAUUUUGGUCUUGAUGUAACCUUGCUGUAGCCAUUGCUGUAAUGUGCCAGGUGUACUUGCAAUAAUCAGAGAAAGUGCGCCAACGUCAAAUCACACAGAGGGAGAGAGAGCACAACUCCUGGCUGCAGCUGAAGGAGGACGAUUGAUUUCUGUCAGUUCGUCUUACCAUUGCUUGUAAGUCGGAUUGGGUAAGAUGGAUCAUCUUUAAAGGCACCAGGAGUUAAGGCAGAUGUGGAGGCACACGGGUGACACCAGACACACACCAAGCACAUUGUUCGGACAUUCAAUCAUGACAUGAUCCAUGUGGAUGCUGUCCAUUGAGGAAAGAGUUUGUUCAGCGGUUUCUGGAUAGAAUUAAUUCCAAAGAUGGGAAAAAGUGCACAUCCAGACAAGGAGCUAGCAAAAAGACAAGGAACUUGGUGCAGAGAAAAGCUGUGGCCAUUAACCCCCAUGUGAACAGCUUCAUGCAGUCCCUGAUUGAGUUCGAAUGGACGACUUCAAAGUAAAGGCCACUGUGGUCUGUCUGCCACAGUUUAAUGCAUUUAUUUUUAGUGUUAAAUGAAAUUCAAGUAGAAUAUUUAAAACUAUGGGCCAGUGUUCUUUUUACCACAGUGAAAUGUUACCUUUUAGUCGAUGAUGGACUUUAAACUGAAAACUUCAAACUAUGGAACAGUGUUCUAUUUGCCAGAGUUAAAUAUGUUACAGCAGGGGUCUCCAA